rnacentral:rRNA from 1 species
CAGCGCCACGAGUGGCAUACACAUUUAUUGGGCCUAAAGCGUCCGUAGCCGGAUUUGUAAAUCUUUUGUGAAAUCAUCAAGCUUAACUUGAUGGCGUGCAGAAGACACUGCAGAUCUUGGAACCGGGAGGAGUCAGAAGUAUUCUGGGGGGAGCGGUAAAAUGUUAUAAUCCCCGGAGGACUACCUGUGGCGAAGGCGUCUGACUAGAACGGAUUCGACGGUGAGGGACGAAGGCCAGGGGAGCGAACCGGAUUAGAUACCCGAGUAGUCC